rnacentral:rRNA from 1 species
AUGUGCGAGAUGGCUGGGGACUUCUACGCGGGCCUACUGGGCAGGCCGGUGCUGCGGCAGCACACGCUCCGUCUGGCUGCUCUUGAGCUGCCGGCGGUUGACACUGCGGCGCUCGAGACCUCACUGUCCGAAACCCUAAUCUGGAACACUAUAAGGGACAUGCAGCCUGACAAGGCCCCGGGCCCGGAUGGCUUCACCACGAGAUUCUACCAGACAUGUUGGGCCAUUAUCAAGGAGGCGGUAAUGAAGGCGGUGCACGCUUUCGACGACACGGAUGGCAGGGGGCUGGACAGGCUAAACGAGGCCUUCAUCGUUCUGUUGCCAAAAGUGGAGAGCGCCAUUGACAUCAAAGACUUCAGGCCCAUAAGCCUCAUUCAUAGCUUCGCCAGAAUCCUUGCCAAAGCCUUGUCGACUGAGCUCGCCCCGCUGAUCCCUAAGUUGGUAGACCGCAUUCAGAGUGCGUUCAUCUCCGGAAGGUAUAUUCUGGACAACUUCAUGCUUGUGCAACAAUCCAUCCGCACCCUCCACCGCAAGCGAGCGCCGGCUAUCAUCUUCAAAAUCGACAUCGCCAAAGCAUUUGAUAGCGUCUCAUGGCCAUUCCUCCUUGAGGUGUUGUCGCAUCGUGGAUUUGGCCCAAGGUGGAUCAGACGGAUGUCCACU